AUGCCAUGGCGGGGACAUUUUCUAAGCAGCUCAUUAAAUCUUUCUCAAGCAUAAAAUAAGGAUUCAUCCUCUCCUUGAUUAAAUGAGGUUAUCUCAUUUCUCAUUUU